UUGGGAUGCGGCAGCCUAUACAUGCAGUCGUACGCUUCUUUUUCCACCGGAGCUUGCUCCACCGGAAAAAGAGGAGUGGCGAACGGGUGAGUAACACGUGGGUAACCUGCCCAUCAGAAGGGGAUAACACUUGGAAACAGGUGCUAAUACCGUAUAACAAUCGAAACCGCAGGGUUUUGAUUUGAAAGGCGCUUUCGGGUGUCGCUGAUGGAUGGACCCGCGGUGCAUUAGCUAGUUGGUGAGGUAACGGCUCACCAAGGCCACGAUGCAUAGCCAACCUGAGAGGGUGAUCGGCCACAUUGGGACUGAGACACGGCCCAAACUCCUACGGGAGGCAGCAGUAGGGAAUCUUCGGCAAUGGACGAAAGUCUGACCGAGCAACGCCGCGUGAGUGAAGAAGGUUUUCGGAUCGUAAAACUCUGUUGUUAGAGAAGAACAAGGAUGAGAGUAACUGUUCAUCCCUUGACGGUAUCUAACCAGAAAGCCACGGCUAACUACGUGCCAGCAGCCGCGGUAAUACGUAGGUGGCAAGCGUUGUCCGGAUUUAUUGGGCGUAAAGCGAGCGCAGGCGGUUUCUUAAGUCUGAUGUGAAAGCCCCCGGCUCAACCGGGGAGGGUCAUUGGAAACUGGGAGACUUGAGUGCAGAAGAGGAGAGUGGAAUUCCAUGUGUAGCGGUGAAAUGCGUAGAUAUAUGGAGGAACACCAGUGGCGAAGGCGGCUCUCUGGUCUGUAACUGACGCUGAGGCUCGAAAGCGUGGGGAGCAAACAGGAUUAGAUACCCUGGUAGUCCACGCCGUAAACGAUGAGUGCUAAGUGUUGGAGGGUUUCCGCCCUUCAGUGCUGCAGCUAACGCAUUAAGCACUCCGCCUGGGGAGUACGACCGCAAGGUUGAAACUCAAAGGAAUUGACGGGGGCCCGCACAAGCGGUGGAGCAUGUGGUUUAAUUCGAAGCAACGCGAAGAACCUUACCAGGUCUUGACAUCCUUUGACCACUCUAGAGAUAGAGCUUCCCCUUCGGGGGCAAAGUGACAGGUGGUGCAUGGUUGUCGUCAGCUCCUGUCCUGAAAUGUUGGGUUAAGUCCGGCACCAACGCAACCCUUAUUGUUAGUUGCCAUCAUUCAGUUGGGCAUCCUACCAAAACUGCCGGUGA
rnacentral:rRNA from 1 species